UGGGUCGGCAAGGCGGUCGCGUCAUCCGUUGUUCGCGAGAACAGCGGAUGCCGAGGAACGUCCGGGCUCCAUAGAGCAGGACGGUGGGUAACACCCACCCGGGGCAACCCGCGAGACAGUGCCACAGAAAGUAGACCGCCGCCUGCCGGCCUUCGGGCCAGGCAGGGGGUAAGGGUGAAACGGUGGUGUAAGAGACCACCAGAGGCCAGGGUGACCUGGUCGGCUCGGUAAACCUCGUCCGGAGCAAGGUCAGACAGGGAACGACAAGGCUGCUCGCCCAGUUCCCGGGUAGACCGCUGGAGGGCUGCGGCAACGUAGUCCCGAGAUAGAUGGCCGCCCACGGUGUCCGUGCCUCGCACGGCACCCGGACAGAACCCGGCGUACCAGCCGGCCCAUUCC
rnacentral:RNase_P_RNA from 1 species